rnacentral:rRNA from 1 species
GACAGAGGUGCCAAGCGUUAGGCGGAAUCACUGGGCUUAAAGCGUGUGUAGGCGGGCUCUCAAGUACCUUGUGAAAUCCCACGGCUCAACCGUGGAACUGCUGGGUAUACUGGGUGCCUUGGGUCAUCUAGGGGCUGCCGGAACAAAUGGUGGAGCGGUGAAAUGCGUAGAUAUCAUUUGGAACGCCAACGGCGAAAGCAGGCAGCUGGGGAUGCACCGACGCUGAGACACGAAAGCCAGGGGAGCGAACGGG